GGUGGCUUAGUGGUAGAGCUCUUGCCUUGCAUGCAUGAGGUCCUGGGUUUGAUUCCUCAGCACCA
rnacentral:tRNA from 1 species